rnacentral:sRNA from 1 species
AGUUGCAACAUCCCCGUGGGUUGGGUGCAGGUCGCAGUUGGACCGGUACAGCGAACCCACUGCAACU